UACGAAGGGGGCUAGCGUUGCUCGGAAUCACUGGGCGUAAAGCGCACGUAGGCGGAUCUUUAAGUCAGGGGUGAAAUCCUGGAGCUCAACUCCAGAACUGCCUUUGAUACUGAGGAUCUUGAGUCCGGGAGAGGUGAGUGGAACUCCGAGUGUAGAGGUGAAAUUCGUAGAUAUUCGGAAGAACACCAGUGGCGAAGGCGGCGAUCUGGGAAGUUACUGACGCUGAGGUGCGAAAGCGUGGGGAGCAAACAGG
rnacentral:rRNA from 1 species